UAGCCGUAAACGAUACUCGCUAGGUGUCGGCCACGGUGCGACCGUUGUCGGUGCCGUAGGGAAGCCGUGAAGCGAGCCACCUGGGAAGUACGGCCGCAAGGCUGAAACUUAAAGGAAUUGGCGGGGGAGCGCAACAACGGGUGGAGCUUGCGGUUUAAUUGGAUUCAACGCCGGAAAUCUUACCGGGACCGACAGCAACAUGAAGGCCAAGCUGAAGACUUUGCCGGAUUAGCUGAGAGGUGGUGCAUGGCGUAGUCG
rnacentral:rRNA from 1 species